UUAGGAAUCUUCCCCAAUGGGCGCAAGCCUGAGGGAGCGACACUGCGUGAAGGACGAAGGUUUUCGGAUCGUAAACUUCUGAACGAGGGACGAAUAAUGACGGUACCUCGCUAAAAGCACCGGCUAACUCCGUGCCAGCAGCCGCGGUAAUACGGAGGGUGCAAGCGUUGUCCGGAUUUAUUGGGUUUAAAGGGUACGUAGGCGGGCUGUUAAGUCUGUGGUGAAAGCUCUCGGCUCAACCGGGAAAUUGCCAUGGAUACUGACAGUCUUGAGUACAGUAGAGGUGGGCGGAAUUCAUGGUGUAGCGGUGAAAUGCAUAGAUACCAUGAGGAACACCGAUAGGGAAGCCAGCUCACUGGACUGUAACUGACGCUGAGGUACGAAAGCGUGGGGAGCGAACAGGAUUAGAUACCCCGGUAGUCC
rnacentral:rRNA from 1 species